UAGGGAAUCUUCCACAAUGGGCGAAAGCCUGAUGGAGCAACGCCGCGUGUGUGAUGAAGGGUUCCGGCUCGUAAACACUGUUGUAAGGGAAGAAUGACAUUGAGAGUAACUGUUCAAUGUGUGACGGUAUCUUACCAGAAAGGAACGGCUAAAUACGUGCCAG
rnacentral:rRNA from 1 species